rnacentral:rRNA from 1 species
CAGGGGUACUGCGCGGAGGAGAAGGCCGUGCAGCGGGGCCGACCGACCGCACCGGCAGCUCCCUCAAUUUACCUGACCUAGCCCCGCCAAACCAAAGUCCUCCUUUUCUUUUGCUUUUACCUAAUUUUGGCACCCAAGUUUAGGUACCUGCGACCGUGAGGCGGUAGGUGAGCGCGGCCGCGGCGGAGAUCGGAGGGAGGGGAGACUUCGAGGGGUAGAGAAACAAGCGACCUAGAUCGGCAGCCGGAGGGAGGAGCGACUUCGAGCGGCCGCGGAAAGAGCCGGAACGGCCUGGCCGCGCCGGACCAAGAAGGAGGGGUAGGCGACCGGAAGCAGGGUGGCAGCUGGAGGUGGUGGAACUACGUUGCAACGAGGAGGUGCUCGAGGUGCUCGAGGUGCUGGCCUCGUUACUUACGAUCUACUUUCACUCGUAGGUUUUGUAGUUUACGCACUUACGAUCUAAACUUCCUGACCGGUAGGAAACCGGUAUGACUCAUGGACAUCAGACAACUGACGAACUCGUACCACUUUACUAUAAUAACAGGUUUUGAGGUUCACCUCGAGGAGGUCAGAGGGCUCGACUGGAUGUUUUGGCCACUAGAACGGGGUUUGGUCAAAACUUCAUAACUAGUACCAUUUUACGUUACCUAUUUCGGGUACCCAUACGGGAAAGAGAAAACAAGUUCAUAACUAAGAAGAGAAGGAACGAUGAAACUUCAUGACUAAUAAGAGGAGGAACCAGUACAGUAAAGGGUCGCACAGUUUUACCCGUGAGGACUAAAGAGACGUCCUCCUUCCCUCGGCUCUUCGACGCUUACUGUGAACUUCCACGUCUCCUUCUCCUUCUUGACGUUGUGCACACUUACAACGGUUGUAAAGGGUGACAUUAACUAACUUCAACAGUUAUACUUAAGUAUAAUACAUAGUCCGUAACAUUUAAGGGAACAUUAGGUCACCUAAAUACAGUUACUUAUACACUUAAGUCUAUAAGUCACUUCAUUUG